GCUCCCGUAGCUCAGGUGGAUAGAGCAUUUGUUUCCUAAACAAAGGGCCACAGGUUCGAGUCCUGUCGGGAGCA
rnacentral:tRNA from 1 species